CCUACGGGAGGCUGCAGUGGGGAAUAUUGCACAAUGGGCGCAAGCCUGAUGCAGCCAUGCCGCGUGUGUGAAGAAGGCCUUCGGGUUGUAAAGCACUUUCAGCGGGGAGGAAGGCGGUGAGGUUAAUAACCUCAUCGAUUGACGUUACCCGCAGAAGAAGCACCGGCUAACUCCGUGCCAGCAGCCGCGGUAAUACGGAGGGUGCAAGCGUUAAUCGGAAUUACUGGGCGUAGAGCGCACGCAGGCGGUCUGUCAAGUCGGAUGUGAAAUCCCCGGGCUCAACCUGGGAACUGCAUUCGAAACUGGCAGGCUAGAGUCUUGUAGAGGGGGGUAGAAUUCCAGGUGUAGCGGUGAAAUGCGUAGAGAUCUGGAGGAAUACCGGUGGCGAAGGCGGCCCCCUGGACAAAGACUGACGCUCAGGUGCGAAAGCGUGGGGAGCAAACAGGAUUAGAUACCCGUGUAGUC
rnacentral:rRNA from 1 species